UGGGGAAUAUUGCACAAUGGGCGCAAGCCUGAUGCAGCCAUGCCGCGUGUGUGAAGAAGGCCUUCGGGUUGUAAAGCACUUUCAGCGGGGAGGAAGGCGAUAAGGUUAAUAACCUUGUCGAUUGACGUUACCCGCAGAAGAAGCACCGGCUAACUCCGUGCCAGCAGCCGCGGUAAUACGGAGGGUGCAAGCGUUAAUCGGAAUUACUGGGCGUAAAGCGCACGCAGGCGGUUGAUUGAGUCAGAUGUGAAAUCCCCGGGCUUAACCCGGGAAUUGCAUCUGAUACUGGUCAGCUAGAGUCUUGUAGAGGGGGGUAGAAUUCCAUGUGUAGCGGUGAAAUGCGUAGAGAUCUGGAGGAAUACCGGUGGCGAAGGCGGCCCCCUGGACAAAGACUGACGCUCAGGUGCGAAAGCGUGGGGAGCAAACAGG
rnacentral:rRNA from 1 species